rnacentral:rRNA from 1 species
CACGUAGGGGGCAAGCGUUGUCCGGAUUUAUUGGGCGUAAAGAGCUUGUAGGCGGUUUGUCGCGUCUGCCGUGAAAGCCCAGGGCUUAACCCUGGGUCUGCGGUGGGUACGGGCAGACUAGAGUGUGGUAGGGGAGACUGGAAUUCCUGGUGUAGCGGUGAAAUGCGCAGAUAUCAGGAGGAACACCGAUGGCGAAGGCAGGUCUCUGGGCCACUACUGACGCUGAGAAGCGAAAGCAUGGGGAGCAAACAGG